GCCAGGUGUGGUGGUGCAUACCUGUAGUCCCAGCUACUCAGGAGGCUGAGGUGGGAGGAUCGCUUGAGCCCAGGAAGUCAUUGCAGUGAGCCGUGAUCUCGCCACUGCACUCCAGCCUGGGUGACAGAGCGAGACCUUGCCUCUG
rnacentral:SRP_RNA from 2 species